UAAAUAAUUGAUAGUUAAGGUGCAUGCUUAUUAUGAAUAAGCAAUGCUUAAUUGGGAAGUCUGGUGCAAAUCCAGCACGGUCCCGCCACUGUAAAUGAAGAGCGACUCUAUGAAUUGCCACUGGUAUUCCUAUACCGGGAAGGUUAGAGAAGCGUUGACGCAUGAGUCAGGAGACCAGCCUUAAUGUGUAUUCACAA
rnacentral:ncRNA from 2 species